rnacentral:rRNA from 1 species
UAGGGAAUCUUCGGCAAUGGGGGGAACCCUGACCGAGCAACGCCGCGUGAGUGAAGAAGGUUUUCGGAUCGUAAAGCUCUGUUGUUAAGGAAGAACGAGUGUGAGAAUGGAAAGUUCAUGCUGUGACGGUACUUAACCAGAAAGGGACGGCUAACUACGUGCCAGCAGCCGCGGUAAUACGUAGGUCCCGAGCGUUGUCCGGAUUUAUUGGGCGUAAAGCGAGCGCAGGCGGUUAGAAAAGUCUGAAGUGAAAGCCCAUCGCUUAACGGUGGGUUUGCGCCGGGUACGGGCGGGCUAGAGUGCAGUAGGGGAGACUGGAAUUCCCGGUGUAACGGUGGAAUGUGUAGAUAUCGGGAAGAACACCAAUGGCGAAGGCAGGUCUCUGGGCUGUUACUGACGCUGAGAAGCGAAAGCGUGGGGAGCGAACAGG